rnacentral:tRNA from 1 species
GGGCUCUUAGCUCAGCUGGUUCAGAGCGUCCCGUUCACAUCGGGAAGGUCACUGGUUCGAGUCCAGUAGAGCCCACCG